CGCAGAACACCCCCGGGAGAGAGCUCAAAGGAGAGUAGACAAAUUUAGGGAGCCGAGCGACAGUGACGGCUCCACCAAUCACAGCUCGCAGAGAGAACACAGCCUUCCUCCUCAGCCAAUAGGAAGCGGUUAGUUGCAGAAUGAUGUUCCACGCUGUCUUCACUAGAAGAUCAAAUAAAAAUAGUAGAUGCACAUGUCACAUACUCUUCGCAGCCCAGAAGAUCCGUCUAUCCUGUGGGCUACUAAAUUUGGUGAACUACGAUGACCAGCUUUUUUUUCUGCUUAAUAUUAACAACAUUUUGUAAC